GACGAACGCUGGCGGCGUGCCUAAUACAUGCAAGUUGAGCGCUGAAGGUUGGUACUUGUACCAACUGGAUGAGCAGCGAACGGGUGAGUAACGCGUGGGGAAUCUGCCUUUGAGCGGGGGACAACAUUUGGAAACGAAUGCUAAUACCGCAUAAAAACUUUAAACACAAGUUUUAAGUUUGAAAGAUGCAAUUGCAUCACUCAAAGAUGAUCCCGCGUUGUAUUAGCUAGUUGGUGAGGUAAAGGCUCACCAAGGCGAUGAUACAUAGCCGACCUGAGAGGGUGAUCGGCCACAUUGGGACUGAGACACGGCCCAAACUCCUACGGGAGGCAGCAGUAGGGAAUCUUCGGAAAUGGACGAAAGUCUGACCGAGCAACGCCGCGUGAGUGAAGAAGGUUUUCGGAUCGUAAAACUCGGUUGGUAGAGAAGAACGUUGGUGAGAGUGGAAAGCUCAUCAAGUGACGGUAACUACCCAGAAAGGGACGGCUAACUACGUG
rnacentral:rRNA from 1 species